GGGGCUGACUGGUUUUGACAGCAGGUUAAAUUUUAUAGUAAGCAUGUCGAGUAUUGUUUUUUUAACUCGUAAAAAUUAAAAAAACAAAUUUUUAAUUGGCGAAAAUAAUUACGCUUUAGCAGCCUAAUUUAUAAAUUAGAUUGCUUUUGUCUUUUUAAAGGUUCUCCUGAAACCUUUAUUUAGGGCAUUAUUAAUUUCAGGAUAGCUUAUUUAUUUCUUAGUUAAAUAAGUGAAUUAUAUAAGAUAAGGAAUAUGUUUGGUGGUAUCUUACCUACUUAUUCUCGAAAAUUAAAAGGUAAUAAGCAUGUAGAAAAUUAUUGAAUUUCUUGUUUGGACGUGGGUUCGAAUCCCACCAGCUCCACUA
rnacentral:tmRNA from 1 species